rnacentral:rRNA from 1 species
UCGAAAGCCUAUCUCAGUUCGGAUUGGAGGCUGAAACCCGCCUCCAUGAAGUUGGAUUCGCUAGUAAUCGCGCAUCAGCCAUGGCGCGGUGAAUACGUUCCCGGGCCUUGUACACACCGCCCGUCAAGCCAUGGGAGCUGGGGGUGCCUGAAGUUCGUGACCGCAAGGAUCGACCUAGGGCAAAACCGGUGACUGGGGCUAAGUCGUAACAAGGUAAC